UGGGGAAUAUUGGGCAAUGGGCGAAAGCCUGACCCAGCAACGCCGCGUGAAGGAAGAAGGCCUUCGGGUUGUAAACUUCUUUUGUCAGGGAAGAUAAUGACGGUACCUGACGAAUAAGCUCCGGCUAACUACGUGCCAGCAGCCGCGGUAAUACGUAGGGAGCAAGCGUUAUCCGGAUUUACUGGGUGUAAAGGGCGCGUAGGCGGGACUGUAAGUCAGAUGUGAAAUACCGGGGCUCAACCCCGGGGCUGCAUUUGAAACUAUGGUUCUUGAGUGAUGGAGAGGCAGGCGGAAUUCCCGGUGUAGCGGUGGAAUGCGUAGAUAUCGGGAGGAACACCAGUGGCGAAGGCGGCCUGCUGGACAUUAACUGACGCUGAGGCGCGAAAGCGUGGGGAGCAAACA
rnacentral:rRNA from 1 species